rnacentral:rRNA from 1 species
CCUACGGGAGGCAGCAGUAAGGAAUAUUGGUCAAUGGACGAAAGUCUGAACCAGCCAUGCCGCGUGAAGGAUGAAGGCCCUCUGGGUUGUAAACUUCUUUUAUCUGGGACGAAAAAAGCUCAUUCUUGAGCACUUGACGGUACCAGAGGAAUAAGCACCGGCUAACUCCGUGCCAGCAGCCGCGGUAAUACGGAGGGUGCAAGCGUUAUCCGGAUUCACUGGGUUUAAAGGGUGCGUAGGUGGGUCUGUAAGUCAGUGGUGAAAUCUCCGGGCUUAACUCGGAAACUGCCAUUGAUACUAUAGGUCUUGAAUCAUCUGGAGGUAAGCGGAAUAUGUCAUGUAGCGGUGAAAUGCUUAGAUAUGACAUAGAACACCAAUUGCGAAGGCAGCUUACUACGGGUGUAUUGACACUGAGGCACGAAAGCGUGGGGAUCAAACAGGAUUAGAUACCCUGGUAGUCCACGCCCUAAACGAUGGAUACUCGACAUCAGCGAUACACUGUUGGUGUCUGAGCGAAAGCAUUAAGUAUCCCACCUGGGAAGUACGACCGCAAGGUUGAAACGUUAAAGGAAUUGACGG